rnacentral:tRNA from 1 species
GCCUGGGUGGCUUAGUUGGUUAAGCAUCUGACUUCGGCUCAGGUCAUGAUCUGGUGGUCUGUGAGUUCGAGUUCCACAUCAGGCU